GAGAGGAUGGUGCCCAAGAAGCGGAAGGACUCCACAGUGUUGACUGGGGAGUCGCACAGGGUGAUGGGGGUGAGUGGGGCUUUGGAUCUCAACUCACUUGUUAAGUUACCUGUUCACUUUUGUAUUGAAUGUGUGUGUGCCUACUCAUCCUCUGAUGCCUCAGUGUGUGUGUGUG